UACGUAGGGUGCGAGCGUUAAUCGGAAUUACUGGGCGUAAAGCGUGCGCAGGCGGUUUUGUAAGCCAGAUGUGAAAGCCCCGGGCUUAACCUGGGAAUGGCAUUUGGGACUGCAAGGCUGGAGUGCGGCAGAGGAGACUGGAAUUCCUGGUGUAGCAGUGAAAUGCGUAGAUAUCAGGAGGAAUACCGGUGGCGAAGGCGGGUCUCUGGGCCGUAACUGACGCUGAGGAGCGAAAGCAUGGGGAGCGAACAGG
rnacentral:rRNA from 1 species